GACGAACGCUGGCGGCGUGCCUAACACAUGCAAGUCGAGCGGAGUCAGUAAGAGGAAGUUUUCGGAUGGAAUCUUAUUGAUUUAGCGGCGGACGGGUGAGUAACGCGUGAGCGACCAACCUUGCACAGGGGGAUAACGGACCGAAAGGUUCACUAAUACCGCAUGAGACCACGGUGUUGCAUGACACAGUGGUCAAAGGAGUAAUCCGGUGCAAGACGGGCUCGCGUCCGAUUAGGUAGUUGGAGGGGUAACGGCCCACCAAGCCUAUGAUCGGUAGCCGACCUGAGAGGGUGAUCGGCCACAUUGGAACUGAGAUACGGUCCAAACUCCUACGGGAGGCAGCAGUGGGGAAUAUUGGGCAAUGGGGGAAACCCUGACCCAGCAACGCCGCGUGAAGGAAGAAGGUUUUCGGAUUGUAAACUUCUGUCCUUGGUGAAGAGAAGAAGACGGUAGCCAAGGAGGAAGCCCCGGCUAACUACGUGCCAGCCGCCGCGGUAA
rnacentral:rRNA from 1 species